AAUCAUCAAUACCUUAGCAAAAGGGAAGAAAGAAAAAGAAUAAUCAGAGCGAGGAUGGCUGGAGAGCAAAGAGUUGUAAUUCCAAGGGUGAAACUGGGUUGCCAAGGAUUAGAGGUCUCCAAAUUGGGGUUUGGGUGUAUGGGACUUAGUGGUGGGUACAACGCCCCUGUCUCUGAAGAGGUUGGGAUUUCAAUCAUUAAGGAAGCAUUCAAUUCAGGAAUUUCAUUUUUUGACACGGCUGACAUAUAUGGAUUUCACACUAAUG
rnacentral:misc_RNA from 1 species